UGGCCUUUGAGAUGGUGUAUAGUGUCCAGGACACCUAGAUGGGGCUGACACAAGACCUAUGGAAAAACCACGCCCUCUGCAGCAUAAUCUGGAGGCCAGGGAGGACCUCCAGGGACAUCUCUGGUGGCAUUAGAAGCUGGGGCAGCUGAAUCUUGUCCCUGGUAAAUGCAGUUAAUGAAGUGUGAGGAGGUGCAGCAGCCACUGAGUGUCUUCUGUGGGGUAAGCUCCAUCAUAUCUAGGUUCCACCAUCUAAUUAGAGCAUCACAAGCUGUUAAUAGACAUUUAAAGCUGAAUUCCCUUGUCCACUAUUCAGAAUGUCCUAAGGAAUCCCAGACAUCUGCACGGGGUUGGUUGGUGUGACAGAAUGCCAGUGUUACCCUGGAACAGCAGCUGAAGGCCCAACAGGAUGCUCCAGGGCACCUCAAAAGGCAUCAGUCAGAGUCAGGAGGUCUGAACCUACAAAGAAUUCCUAGAGUGUCAGAUUUUGCUGUGUGCAGUACUGGUGUUGGCCAUGGUGGUGCAGUGUUCUGAACAGUGGUGAUAAGCAAACUGAAUGUUACCUUUCCUGGUUUUAAUGACAACUAGACAGUGCCCCUGCAAUAGGUAUAUACAUAUGAUUAUGUUAAGGACAAGCUGUCAGGUCAUGUGGAAAACCAGGAGCAUCUUUCUGUUUAAUUUCUCGUGGGGCUUCAUUUACAUUUGAUACACAGAAACAUGAGUAAAUAAUGCACUGUCUUUUGAAGAAAAUAAGCCCUUAGUAAUAGAAGAGAUUGUCUAAGUGCUGUAUGACUGCAUAGGGAUUAGACCACUCAACUGGAAGAUGAGAACUGGAUAACCACCUGUGUGGGGCUUAGACUCUCACUUGCAGAGAUGCUUUUCAGAGGCAGGUGCUUUAACACUUGCUUCCUUCAGAACAUGCCUGCAUUAGAUGGCUCUCAAGAACAUUCCUCCACCCAACCUAUGAAACACUCCCAAUGUCUUAAGCAAGCUUAAGGCAACA